ACGAGGCUGGGAGGCGGAGCAGGAGUCAGCGCUGAGGAGGGCACAGGGGACAUGCCUGACUCCGUCUGGGUGCCAGGCCCAGAGCCGGGCAUUUCCCAUAGUCAUCGGCCCCCUGCCCGCCCCCAGCAUGUCGAGGAAGGGAGGAGUAUUUUUAGUUCCAUCUUGAAGACGGGCACAGGAACGGAGAAUAACUGCCUGAAAGCACUGUCCCUGGUCUGAGCGGCCCUUGGAAAGGCUCAGCCUGGCCCAGGCCUUGCUGCUUCCCAUAACAGUUACAAGCACUGGCUCUGCCAUCGGAGAUGAAAGGGUACACGUGGGGUUCUCCGACCUUCCAGCCGUGUGACCUCGGACUGUUGAACCUACGCAGCUGACGUCAUGGUUGGCACGCAGCUUAGUCUUGUAUCUGGCUCCGUGGGGCACGUGGUGCCCUGUGCACACAUGCCCACCUCGCCCUGUUGGCCCCUCUGGGCACAACUGACUUUGGGAUAGGGACCAGAGCCUGAACUGUCCUGGGGGCCCAAUGUCAUUGGUGAUCCCCUAGUUGGAGAAUGCUCUCUGGCAGGGAGCAGGAGAGGAAGAGAGACUGAAGCUGGAGGAGGAUGCAGUGCAUGUGGCUGACUGGCAGGUGGAGGGGUCACCCAAGGAGGAAUGGGGGCCCUAGGGCAGAGAGCAGCCUCCGUGGACGCCAGCAAGGAAACAGGGGUGUCAGGCCUGUAACCUCAAGGACCCGGAUUCUGCCAGUGCCCGAGUGAGCCUGGGCAAAGAUUCCUCCCGGAGCCUCCAGGUUGGAGUCCAGCCCCACCACACCUUGAUUUUGGCCCAUGGGACCCUGAGCAGAGCCCAGCUGAACUCAUAUGGCAAGAAAGACCGGAGCUAAAAAGGAUGUUGUUUUAAGACACUAAGUAUAGGGCGAUCUGCUACACAGCAAUAGAAAACCACGGCAAAACCCACAUGGGUGAAGACACUGGGUUUGGGUUUGGACGUGCUGAGCUUGGGACGCUUUAGGACUUCCAGGUGGAGGAGUCCAGAAGGCAUUGUUUGCCCAUCCAUGGUGCCCUGAAGAGACCAAGAGGCUCACAUCAGAGGGUGGUCUCAGAGAGGCCGAGCGUGUGACAGCAGAAAAAUCGCUUGCCGUCUACACCCACCCUCCCUCUCUGCACGAGGACGUGGCACCAGAAAAUUGGCAGUCUUUUCCUAGCCUAAAGCACCGCAGUGAGCACCAACCAGUGGUUGCCAUCACCGGCCUCACUCCGAGUCCAGCUCCUGUGGCAGGAUAGCCGAGCUCUGCAGAGGGUCCCGGGCUGGGGCCUGGGGCUGCGUCCGCCAGGCGCUUCCCUGUCUCCUUAUGCUCCAGGGGCCGUUGGCUCUGGGGCAUGCAGGGGUCCCAGUGGUGCCUGUCUCUCAUCCUGCAUCCCUAUCACGCUGGCGCACACUAGGGCCCCUCGUACUGCUGAUGUCACAUGCUGACUGCUUGCCGCCUUCCGAGAGCCCGUCCUCUUCAUCCAGGGGCCCCAGCAAGUGAUGCCAUUUUAACACAAACUUCAAGAGCAAAGUUUGUGAAUCGGUUGCUUUGAGCCCAGGAGCUGUGUCUUGCCUGUGCCUGGCCUGCUUCCUAAAUUCCAGGGAUGCCUCCUGACCUCCAAGCCCACUCCUCAGCCCCCAUCGUCUCUACUUCCUUUUCAGGUUGCAUUCAACUCAGCCGUAAAACAGAUCAGGGCUGCCGGAUCCCCGCUGCUCAGAACAUGAGAUUUUCUCCUGGCAGUGGGAGGCCUGACAUCUUAUUAAAAACAGAGCAAAUGGCAUCAGUGGAAAGGUAGUAACUGAGUACCUGCUGUGUGCCUGGGGAUGUCUUCUGAGCUGGGACUGGAAAGAGGAGCGGAAGGAGAGGCUGAGCUGUGAGUAAGAUGUCUCCAGCCAAGCACGAGGCAGCCCAGCCUACUCAGCAGGGAGCAGAACACAGUGGCCCAACCUUUUUGGCACCAGGGACCAGUUUCAUGGAAGAUAAUUUUUCCACGGACGGGACAAAGGUGCCUCCAUGGCUGCACUGACAGUCUCCAGCACAAGAGAGGAGAAACAGCAUCGGAGGAGACAACAGUCUCCCUGCGUAUGCAAGACACGGUGCGGAAGUCAUCUCCCCAGCAUCUCAGCCCCUGCCCACUGCUGCUUGGGACAAGGUAAGCUGUGGGGGAGGCAGCCCGUGUCCUGGGAGCUUCCAGCUGGGACCCUGAUGACACAUCCCUGUGCAGUCCCAGUCCUUGGUGAUAAUGGAAGAUGGAGCUGAUCCAAGGAACUCGAGCCAGCCCAUUUGAAGAAUGUGUCUUAGGCUCCACGUCCACACUGGAAAGAAAGUGAGGCUCCUUCGUCUCAGUGUCCUUGUGUGAGGCCUCGGGGAAGAUGUCUGAUUGGCCUGUACGGGGCCCAUGUCCUAGCAGGGGUGGGGCACCAUGAUCACUAGCCCCAUCUGGACCCUAAGGAGAGGGGACACCUGGGCCCCACAGCACAGGCAGCCCUGGACUCAGGUCCUGGCUCAACGAUUUAUGACAAUCGGAUGCGGAAAUGAAGGACUGGAUGGUCCCCAGAACUCUCCACUUCACCCCAGAUGCCUUCUCUCCGUACGGAGUGAGGACGCCUCAGAGGCACCCCGCGCCUGGGCUCAUCCCUGCUGCAAGUCCUCUGGGGCUCCCCCAGCAGCCUCCUGCCAGACAGCCCCCUCCGGCUCCGGCCUGUGAUCAAAUCCCGGCUCUGUCCUCAGCAGCGUUGCUCCUGAGGGUGACCUCCAGGACAGUUCCAGCUCAGGAUGGCUUUCUUCCGAGGCAUCCCUGUACCUGUCACAAUGCGAGCUCUCCAAAUACCAGUAAAUGAACAAACUCCAAGAGAAAAAGGACCAAGUCCACGAACAAGUCAAUCACCAAGAAAGAACUGAAAACAGCCGGGAGACCACCCAUGGACCUUGCCUCUCACAUGAGAUUCAAGCAACGACAUGGUGUCUGCUGUGACUGGUGGUGGUGCAGGGGCUCGUGGUGUGGGGACCAGCACGGGGGCAGCACUGACCCCAACCCCAGAUUCCUGGAAGGCAGCUUGGCCCGUGCCAUGGAAGGGUUUACAACACUCGCUCCCUUUGACCCAGCCAUUUUCUUCUGGUAAAGCCUCAUAAAGAAAUAGCUGGACGGGAGCCUUCGGCUGUGGAUGCAGCUGUGAUGGGCUCUGUAAAUUAUUAGCCACAGUCUGGUGCAAAGCUGGAAAUGAACAAAUUGUCCAUGGACAGAAGGGUAGUGAAGAGAGGAUGGAGCAGCCACAGAAGGUACACCAGGCAGCCAUUCUGACAGUGUGGAUUCGGGUUUAUUACUGUGGAAAAAUGUCCAUGGUGUAUAUUAUCGUGUGUGAGGCAGACCACGGGCAGCACGUCCCAAAUGGGGCCACUUUGUAAAUUCUCUCUCUCUUUCUCCAUCGCUCCAGCUCUCUAGCUGUGCAUAAGAAUAAUACAGAAUAUGAUGCUUAAAAACCUAUUUACCAACAUUGUAAUAGCUCCAGAGGAGGGCGGUGCCAGUGAUUUUCCUUCAUUUCAUCAUUCCUUCAGGUGUCGUCUUCAUUUUUUAUGUUUUUUGCAGUCAAUGCUUAUUACUUUAAUAACCAUAAAACUGUU
ensembl:lncRNA novel transcript